GUGGUGAGGGCUGGUGACUUGCCGUACAAAUCAGACACUGAUUUCUACGCCUUCGAAGCGGUCACGCUCGUUCCUUUUGAACCAAAGUUCAUCAAAGUGAACAUGCUGAGCCAUGAACAGUGCAAGUUCAUCAACGACUACCACCACCGCGUGCGUACGGAGGUGGGCAACCUGCUGGAGAAACAGGGACGCUCCCAGGGCCUCGCUUACCUCCUGAAGAAGACGGAGCCUCUGGAGUGCUCCAGGUCCAGCGAAGAGUCCUUUGAAUUAUAGAAAUAAUAAUAUUCAUAGCGGCGUCAGCGUUGAUCAGGCCAUUAGCCAUGUCGCUUAUUCUGAACAUCUUUGAAUUUUUAUAGCUUGGGGCGGGUUUCGAACACGUAACUCAUAACUCCAAUUUUGAUGUGCUUACUUGCCCGGAAACCCUGCCGAUUUUGACCAGAACUGUCUCAGGUGACUAGGAUCGAACC
rnacentral:lncRNA from 1 species